UAGUAAUAGGAGUUGCAACAAUUUCAGCAGAUAAUUUCAGAAAGAGAGGGUUAAUAGACGUCAGCAUGCCACUUUUUUAACUCGAAACUCCAACAAACAACUUAGUUUUUAUUGGUAGAAGCUAUUCCUAAUCCGCUCUUUUCCAUCAGAGGGGUAUAGCCCACCCUUCUCCUCAGAGACAGGCAAACUAGUGUUGCUAGGCAACAGUAGCCUUGGCAACACUGCUACCUUUUGGCGAAAGCAAGAGAGACGCAGGCUAAGAUAGUUAGUUUGCGCUUUAAUAUGAACUAAACUGCCCUCUGACCCACAAAACGACUUUGCUAGAUUAAUGAUAGUGUUGUUAGACAAAGCAAGGAAAGUGAACUUCAAAAUGUGAUGUAGUUUGAUAGGAAAUUGCAGCUGUUGUUGGUAAAUAAUUAAUCUGAUAGCUUCUGACAUGAUUUACUGCAGCUAGAAAGAGAGCAGGCAAUGGGUUAGUAAAACGGCUCUAGUUACAGAUUGGUAGAAGCUAUUCCAAAUCCGUUUUCGGAUUUGACAAGCAAAUACAUCGGCAAAGUUUUCAUGCCUUUGAAUAUGUUUUUAACUUGUUGGGUAAGUGGUCAAAAUGGCAGUUGUUUGGAAAAGGUUGGAAGAAAAGGUGGUAACACAGUUAAUAAAACAGCUGUACCGUAAGAUCUGUAGUAUUUUGGUUCCGCGAACAGAUAUGAAUAGCAGAGAAGUAAACGAAUAUGCCACACACUCUAACUUUGUCUUAACUGCUUGAGAGUAGUGGUCAAAAUCACAAAACAAGUUUUACGAAAAUGUUCGGUAUGCGGUUACUUAAACAGCUGUAACUUUUUAUCAGAAUAUUAUUUUUUGUUCAAACACCAGAUUUGAGUAGCCGAGAACUAUACGAAGAUGUGAACGCUUCUUGUAAAGUGGUCAAAGUUGCUGAUUUGUGUCAAAAGUUGCAUUAUUCCAUGUACAGAGAAUGGCUGUUGGAAGUGAUGUUGUCACAAUGGAGCAGUGUUGCCAACUCCUCAGUAAGGAAAGUAGCUAUUGGCUGUCCUAAAAGUUGCUAGAAGUCGCUAAAUGACGUCAUCACCUAAUUUGCAUAAUUGGCGAUGUGCAUGUAAUUGUGAUGGACGCUGUAGGAGAGAGGAAUAACGUCGUGGGAGUGACAAAAAACCCCCCCUCCACACACACACAGGCUGUGCUGGCUCACAGAAAGAAUGUGUCAUCGUCAUUUUGGUCAAGGCUCUCUAUGGCAGGUUCAGCAACUGAGGGAGCUGACUUAAAUGAGUAAGCAGCUGAUGUGCCAAAAAGCUGCAAGCCUCACCAGACAGCUUCAGUCCAUAUCUAAUGUACAGGAUGGAGUUAAGGGUCUGCAAGGACAUCCGAUUUCUAAGUUAGCUUUUUACCACACUCAUCUGGCUGAAAACUCUCUCGACUUCAGCAUUCGAGUGUGGCAAGGACAACACAGACACAACAGCCAUGGCAACUUCUUGAAGCGGGUUGAUAUCAGCUGCAUCCCUGAACUUCCAAAUCUCACUCCAGAAGCCCAGUGUGUUUUUUGUCUCAUUCCAUUUACUAAGAUGGAUGGCACGCCAUUGCUGGACAAUCUUGUCUAUCUCUGCAGGGGAGUAGCCAAGGAGCUUGGCUAUUUUUUCUAUUUCUACAGGGCUCUUAUUGUGCUUUAGAGUUUCCUCCACAUUGAAAACUGACAUGCACUGCAAUGCUUCGCUGUUGUCCGGCAGUCUCACCCUCAACUCAUUAGUGAGGGAGAUGGUGAAGGCUACACACCACUUUCGGACAUUGUUUUCAUCCUCAGGCGCAAGGUGGAGCUCAGCUGCCUUUGACUCAAAAAGUUAACCAAGGUACGGUUUGGGACUGAUGUAUCCAUCUAUUGGCCCUUUGAGUACAUCAACAUUUGCCAGUAGAUUCAGCACCCUGCUGCUCACAGACUUGAUCAGGCUAACCAAGCUGUCAAGUUCUUUAAGAGGAUCUACUUGCUCUCCCUCAAAAGCCUUGAUGGCCAACUGUACCUCACCCAGCACUGACUUCAAAAAAGUCAGAUACAAUAUGUUUUGAGGAUCACUGUACAUGGAGUAUAAAACCUCAGCCAUGUAGCAGUGUUCACUGGACUUGGUGACUGCAAAAUGCAGCCUAAGCUCCUCCCACUGGUCCAAAAUGCGUGAAACCACGGGUUCAAUGGAGAGCCAACCUGUGGCACACACCUUGGUUAUCUGUAAAGGUUUCUCCCCACAGUUUAUGGUCUCAUAUAUGGCCUUGUAGGCCUCCCUGCGCUUUGGAGAAACUGAAAACCAGUUAUAAGUCUCUCAUACCAAGUACUCCACACUACAGGGGAUGGUGUCAUUGGAAGCAUGACUUACAGCAAGCUGUAGAGAGUGGCAAACACAGUGAAUAAGAACCAGAUAUUUGAGGCCAUACUCCUCUUUCAGCACUUUAUGGACCCUAUUGUUAAUCCCCGUCAUAACAGAGGCAUUGUCAGGUAGAGAGAGAGAGAGAGAUACGUCCACUGUCAGUCCAUUGAAUAGGGAAAGGUAGGGUCAGUGUUAUGGUAGUGCCUAUCCCCAGGAGUUUCUCUUUUUUAAGACAAUGCGUCUCGAGGAAAGCCACAACAGCACGGCUAUAGAUUUGGCAUCUCCCUCCAACUCAACAAGCCCCAGAAAUGUUGAUACAAUUGUCUGCUUGGUGUCACUAAAGUACCUUAUCACAACCCCAAGGUACUUAGAAACACUUACAUCCGUGGACUCAUCGAAGAGGCUGAAACUCUGGUCACCUACAUCUGCGACCAACUUUUUCAGAAAGUAUGGUGCUAGAACACCCUUAAUCAUUUAUGUGCACUUUGUCCUGUGCAUUUUGAAGUGGGUAGCAGCAGUGGAGUCUGAGAAAGCAGCUCUACAUGCUUCUCCAAUGUGAUCACAUGCCAGCAUGGAACAGUGUUUUCAGCGAUAGUUCUCCAAUAACCCCAGAAAAAGUUGCUAGAUUUGUCACUAGUCGAUGUUUAGAAAAUAUGUCGCUAGAGGGGUCUGAAUACUCGCUAAAUAUAGCGACAAAGUCGCUAAGUUGGCAACACUGCAAUGGAGAGCUUCAGAAUGUUGAAGAAAUACCAUGAAAGCGGAUGGAAGACAAAGAAAAGAGUUGUACUGUAUACAAGCAACUCGAGUGUGACCAUUCCACACGUUUUGACGUCUGAACAGCAUUUCUAGCUUAAACAGUGUAGGAUGAGUAGUGUGCUAAAGAAUAUGAAGAAGGAAAAAAAAAACUGGGGCUUUUGAUGCGCAUGCCCUACAAUAAAACAGGUCUACCACCACCACAUAAAGGCCAUGUGUAAUUCUGCAUUUCAGCCCCAAUAUUCAUAAAAAACAGGUCUACACCUGUCCAAUUUACAUACCUACAGUAUGCACCUGUGCUUGAACCCAAUAAGUCAACUAAGCCAGGUCUAAAUGUGACAAAGCCUGAAUACUAAAAUUGUAAACCUGUUCUACCCCUGCAACACAGCUCCAGUACUCUGUCAAGGUCUACAUCUUUGACUGAGUCCCAAUACUAAUAUAACCCAGAUCUACUCCUGCAUAUCUCAGCGGAAAUACCCAUACGAACCAGGUUUGCACCUAUAGCUAUGUUCCAAUACUCUGAUAAACCAGGUCUACCCUUGUGACUAUUCAUCAAAACUCACUACCAUUGUGCAAGAGACACUAAACAAACCUAUUGAUAUUAUAUAUUUGUUAAAUUAUUACAUUAAUUCAGUUUAUGGGUCUAUACAUGGCCAAUUCCCCCUGAAAUAACCAAAUAUGACGUUUCACAGUCAAAAUCACUGAUUUAAACAUACUGUAUGUAAAGGCUAAUGGUAAAAUGAUCUGUAAAAUCUCUUGAUCAAGUAUAUCUAUAAUCCAACA
rnacentral:lncRNA from 1 species